rnacentral:rRNA from 1 species
CCCUUAGAUGUCCUGGGCCGCACGCGCGCUACACUGAGUGUCUGAGAUACGAGUCUGCCUGGUCCGGCAAGGUCUAGGUAAUCGCUAAAAGACACAUCAUGCUUGGGAUAGAUUAUUGCAAAUAUUAAUCUUGAACGAGGAAUUCCUAGUAAGCGCAAGUCAACAGCUUGCGUUGAUUACGUCCCUACCCUUUGUACACACCGCCCGUCGCUACUACUGAUUGGAUGUUUAAGCGAGGUUCUCGAACUGCUAGCGACUUAGCUUCGGUGAGGUCGCAGUGUGGGAAGUGAACCGAGCUUUGGUGUCUAGAGGAAGUAAAAGUCGUAACA